UUACUUUAUCAAUAAUAUCAAAGUACACAUUAUUUAUGUCACAAUAACAAAAAAAAAUUACAUAAUAACGAUACACAAUUGAUCAAACACUUCUAAUUUCUACAAAGCUUCGUUGACGAAAAGUAAUCUAACGCAUUGGUUAACUGCAUCUUGACAUCUUGUUCAGCUAUUCCUGUUAAGAUAAUAAAAAACAAUAUUAUUCUAUAUACACAAAC
rnacentral:lncRNA from 1 species